rnacentral:tRNA from 2 species
GCGGAUUUUAAGCGGACAUGCUCCGCAAUCCCUUAUUUUACCUUGUUUUCAGCGGAUUUCUAAUCCGCUGGUCGUUGGUUCGAUCCCAACCGGGCGCG